CUCCAUCAUGACUCAGCAGCAUCACAUACAGCACAUCCUCGAACCUGAGGUUCACAGCUACACUUCAGCGACAGUCCAGCUGUCUUGCACAACAUGAGUGGAAGAAGAACAAUCUUGGUUCAAUAUUGUGGCGCAGGAUGAGGUUAUCGCCCUCGCUUCCAGAAGCUUGCCAAUGCCAUCCAGGCAGAGCUUAAAGAUGUGAACGUGGUGGGACGAGAGGGGGGACGCAGUGCCUUUGAGGUGUCACUGGAUGGUGAGGAGGUCUACUCCAAGCUCAAGAUGGGAAAGUUUCCUGAUAAUGACGAGGUGGUCAAGGCUUUGAAGAAGAGACUUGGCUAAGAAAAACAUCUGCAAAGGCCUCCAAGCAUGAGAAGAUGGAGGUCAAAACACCAGCUGUAUUCACACUGCAAGAACAAUGGUUUGAUCUUUAUGGCUCAGACUACAUUCUGUCACGGUUCUCUAUCUGAAUAAUUUUCAAUGAAGAAAAAUAUGACAUGAAAACAUUUUUAAAAUUCUAAUUUAACCUAAAUUGAAACCCUCAAGUGUCACCGUCAGCCAUGAGAAGAAGAUCAGACCAUUAAUCUUCACUGUGAAUACAGACAAAGACCAGAAGAUGAUGAGAGUAACUCUGAGGAGCCAGGCACUGAUCUGCACUUCUGUUUAUGAAUGGACUCACUAAAAGCCAUGCAGUGUGUUCAUGAUGCAAGCCUAGAAGCUUUUCAGCUGGCUGGAGCCUGAGGAACUGCUCUCGUCAUGUCCGUCUGCCGUUUACUCAAACAUAAAACCUAUCUACAGCUGCAUUUACUCAGGAAUAGAAAAUCAGAAACUGUAACUCUGUUAUAUAUUUCAUAUUUCUCUGUUUAGAUAACUCCAAAUGAUUUCAGUCUGUGACAUCACAGGGCACAAAUUAAAGGAACAGUUUGACAUUUCUGGAAAUAGGCUUAUUGGCUUUCAUGCCAAGAGUUAGCUAGAUGAGACGAUCGAUACCACUCUGAUGUUUGUACGAUGAAUACGAAGCUACUACCAGCAGCCUGUUAGCUUAUCUUAGCAUGAAGACUGGAAACUGGGAGACACAGUCAGCCUGGCUCCGUCCUGUCAACACAAUCUGCCGACCAGCACCUCUAAAGCUCACUGAUUGACAUGUGAUGUCUGGUUUGUUUAAUCUGUACAAAAACCACAGUGUUUAAGUCACAAGUUGCUGCUGACAGGAGGUUAUGGGCCGGACUCUUUCUUGGCUUGGACCAGUAACCUUCUGGAGUCGUUCUACUGGUCCACGCCAUGAAAUAGUCCGGCUCCUAACCCCUCUGUAAAAUGGCAAAUGUCAUCUGUGCACUGUGGUUUUUGUACAGAUCAAACAAGAUAUACAGCAGCAUGUGAAUCAGUGAGCUUUAGAGGUUGUGGUCGGCGGGUUUUUGUUACCUUUGGACAGAGCCAGGCUGGCUGUUCCCCCUGUUUCCAGCCUGUAUGCUAAGCUAAGCUAACCAGCUGGUGGUAGCUGUAUAUUUAUCGCACAGACAUGAGAGUGGUAUCAAUCUUCUUAAUUUACUCUGCAAGACAGCAAAAUAAACGUUUUUCCAAAGAUGUUGAACUAUUCUUUACAUUUAAGGUGGUCGAACAUAAAAUGUGCUACUAUUCACCUCCCUGAUUUGGAAACAAACAAAAAGAUUUUUCAACGUUAUUAAAGCCUCACACACAGUGCAUUUACUGUAUGGUCGACCACCUCAUUCAGAUAUCAGUGCCUUAUUGGCUUUCAUGUCAAGAGUUACUGUAGCUAGAUGAGACGAUCGAUACCACUCUGAUGUUUGUACGAUGAAUAUGAAGCUACCACCAGCAGCCUGUUAGCUUAUCUUAGCAUGAAGACUGGAAGCUGGGAGACACAGUCAGCCUGGCUCCGUCCUGUCAACACAAUCUGCCGACCAGCACCUCUAAAGCUCACUGAUUGACAUGUGAUGUCUGGUUUGUUUAAUCUGUACAAAAACCACAGUGUUUAAGUCACAAGUUGCUGCUGACAGGAGGUUAUGGGCCGGACUCUUUCUUGGCUUGGACCAGUAACCUUCUGGAGUCGUGCUACUGGUCCACGCCAUGAAAUAGUCCGGCUCCUAACCCCUCUGUAAAAUGGCAAAUGUCAUCUGUGCACUGUGGUUUUUGUACAGAUCAAACAAGAUAUACAGCAGCAUGUGAAUCAGUGAGCUUUAGAGGUUGUGGUCAGCGGGUUUUUGUUACCUUUGGACAGAGCCAGGCUGGCUGUUCCCCCUGUUUCCAGCCUGUAUGCUAAGCUAAGCUAACCAGCUGGUGGUAGCUGUAUAUUUACCACACAGACAUGAGAGUGGUAUCAAUCUUCUUAAUUUACUCUGCAAGAAAGUGAAAUAAACAUUUUUCCAAAGAUGUUGAACUAUCCUUUACAUUUAGGGUGGUCAAACAUAAAGUGUGCCACUAUUUUCCUUUCUUGGAGACAAACAAAAAGAUUUUUCAAAUGUUAUUAAAGCCUCACACACAGUGCAUUUACUGUAUGGACGACCACCUCAUUCAGAUAUCAAUGCCUGUAUUUCUAGAACUGCAUUCAUACUCUAAAAUACUUCAUAGACACAGACUCAUUAAAUUCUAACAGAUCAAUUUUAAAUCCACACCUGCCACAUAUGCUCUGCUUUCUCAAACACAUGCAUGCACUAUAACCUUAUUAUAUCAUGAGAUCUUUAAUUCGACUUUGGAAAUACCUUUGAGCUUUUCAACAACUCACACCAUUGUUAUAUCAUUGUAUCACCUGUAAUCAUCACGACACACAAAUGCAAUAAAAUAUCACUGGUAAAACAACAA